rnacentral:rRNA from 1 species
CAGUAGCCGCGGUAAUACGUAGGGUGCGAGCGUUAAUCGGAAUUACUGGGCGUAAAGCGUGCGCAGGCGGUUUUGUAAGACAGGCGUGAAAUCCCCGGGCUCAACCUGGGAAUGGCGCUUGUGACUGCAAAGCUAGAGUGCGGCAGAGGGGGAUGGAAUUCCGCGUGUAGCAGUGAAAUGCGUAGAUAUGCGGAGGAACACCGAUGGCGAAGGCAAUCCCCUGGGCCUGCACUGACGCUCAUGCACGAAAGCGUGGGGAGCAAACAGGAUUAGAUACCCGCGUAGUCCCUGUCUCUUAUAC